rnacentral:rRNA from 1 species
CCAGACUCCUACGGGAGGCAGCAGUGGGGAAUAUUGGGCAAUGGGCGCAAGCCUGACCCAGCAACGCCGCGUGAAGGAAGAAGGCUUUCGGGUUGUAAACUUCUUUUCUGAGGGACGAAGAAAGUGACGGUACCUCAGGAAUAAGCCACGGCUAACUACGUGCCAGCAGCCGCGGUAAUACGUAGGGGGCAAGCGUUAUCCGGAUUUACUGGGUGUAAAGGGAGCGUAGACGGCAAGGCAAGCCAGAAGUGAAAGGGCAGGGCUCAACCCUGUACAUGCUUUUGGAACUGUGGUGCUAGAGUGCAGGAGAGGUAAGUGGAAUUCCUAGUGUAGCGGUGAAAUGCGUAGAUAUUAGGAGGAACACCAGUGGCGAAGGCGGCUUACUGGACUGUAACUGACGUUGAGGCUCGAAAGCGUGGGGAGCAAACAGGAUUAGAUACCCCCGUA